CCCACGGCGUUCUGACUCCUGCGCUCUCUGGACACUGCUGCCACGGGCUGGGGGCUUUCGGGGAGAUGUGAUUGUCCCUGAGGGAGGUCCACUUUGCUGGCAGUAAAGGCUGUCCGGCCUGAGUCGAACAUGGACCAGGAACAGCUGCCACCUCUACAGGCUCCGGUGUAGAAUGGUGGACAGUAAAGAUGGGAACCACUCCUGAGUUGAAAAUGCACAGUGCGCCAGGGUCUGUUGGUCCACGCUGGUGGCUGCUUGGUUGUGUCUGGUCUUGUCAACAAUUUCAUCAGGAAGUCUCCCACAUUUAUGAUGCUGAUACAAAGAGCCAUGCCAGUCAUAAAAGGGCUCUGAUGGGACAAGGGGAACCGAGGGAGAGAUGGCUGACUACAACUGGGCCGGAGCUUUGAAGGACAAACCGUGACGCCAAGGCUGACACGAUGGUGGAUGCCAGAGUCAGAGGGAAAGCAGAGCGAGGAGAAAGAGGACACUCAGGGGAGACAUCAGUGCAGUCUGGUGGUGUUAGGCCUCGGGCUGCCUCCAGGAUCUAGCUGUGCCUUGCAUUCAAGAUGCUGGCCUGUGGGGACAAGAACUGCAGGAGCAAAGAGCAUGUUUCCUGGGCACAGUGGGGUUGUAGAAAGGAAUAACUGGAGAAGGUUCAGAGUUGUGCUUAAGACUUCCAACGGCUAAGAUGCCCCUUGGACUUCGACUGGAGCUACUGAGAAGGGAGAUGCCAAACAGAACGGAGAAACUCAAGUGAGAGAGAGCCCUGGGACUCAGGCCCCAAGUGUGGCCAGUACUCAAGAACCUGUUUGCCUUUAAGCUAUUCCCUCGCACACCCUGGCUGAAACGGACAGUAACCAGAGCGAUGGCAGUCUGAAUCACUCCAUCUUCCAUGCUCAGGUAAAGUCCCUUGGAACAGGUGACAUUUGAGCUAAGAUCUGAAAUAUGGAAAGGAGAUGACAGGGGACAUUGUGAUUAAAAAAGAAAAAAAGCCCACAGACCACUUCGGUUAAGGAAGUAGUAAGUGCCAAGGCCCGGAUGUAGCAAAGACCUUGAGAUUUGUGAAUGAGGAUAAAGGUACAGGGUGGGGGUAUGAAUUAGGGGGAGAAGUUGAGGUCAUAGAAGUAGGCAAAGGCUGGAUUGUAUAGCAAUAAGGGGCAGGAAACUAUUUUUGUAGAGAGCCAGCUAGAAAAAACAUUUUAGGGUCUGGAGGCCCCUGUGUGUGUUCCAUAUCCUCAUUUCUGCCAGCACAGUGGGGAGGUACACAGACAAUAUGGCUGCAAGGACAGUGGAGGCCCAGAUUCAGUGUAUAGGUAGUAGCUGGCUAAGCUUUGGAGUAGGGUAAUUGAAUUAUAUAGUAAAGAACUUUGCAUUUUAUUCUAAGUGAAAAGUUGGGAGAUUUUGAACAGGCAGCAUCUUAGGGUCCCAUGUUGCUUGAGGAAGGUGUCUUGUAACAGAAUUUAUAAUGUAAAUGUUUUAUUUCUCCACUGUCUCCUUUCCUUAUUAUGAACUCUGUUUCAAGGUACCUUUUGAAACCUGAAGGAUAAGUCUUCGGUGGUUGCUUGUGCUGUUUUCUAGUUAUGUAACCUUAGGGAAAUUGCUUUAUAUAUCUCCGAGCCUCAGUUUCUGUCUUCAUAAAACUGCAGUAACACCUUUCUGAAGAGUUACUAAAUGGAUUAAAUGAGAUCAUGUAUAUAAAACAUCUGUCAUGCUACUUGGCAGAGUAAGGGCCCAAUGAUGUAAACUGCUUUUCUUUUCUUUUUUCUUUCCAUUCAGCCUAUAUUUUUCAUACUGCAGUUAAAGCAGAGGUAAAUGUGAAACUUAAUAAUCAGGUUCAAAACAUCAGUCUCUGAAGCACAGACUGAGAAACUGCUCAGCAUCACUAGGUGAUUUGGACAAUGCAAUUUUAAUUUGUAUGAACAGAAGCACAAUUUCUGAUUAUAAUAAUGGUAAAUACACUAGUAUUUCUGUGUUAUUCAAACCAUAUUCACAGUAAUAAUUCUGGGUAUUCAAACCAUAUUCAGAGUCCCAGGAAUAAUUCUGGGCAUACUAAGUAUAGUAUAUUCAAAGAAGAAUAACACGAUAUGAAGGGAGUUGGGAAACAUCACAUAUAAAGUGUACUGGAAAUGUUUAGCUUGGGAGGAAAACACUAAAAAACUUGAAAAGAGUACCAAUAAUUGAAGGGCUAUCUUUCAUUUGGAUAGAAAGAUAUUCACACCCUACUGGAAUAGACAUUUGCACUUUUGGACUUUUGGGUAGAAGAUACAGAGAUAAGAUUUUUCCACUACAGUUAAAAAUCUCCAUGAUAGCGGAAGUGACCUCCCAGUCAAUGCAGGCUUUUCAGAAAAGAUGGUCAAGUGUUCAACAGCUGAGAGAUCAUCCAAAGUAUUUCUACAGUGACAACACCCACAGAUCGAAAGCCUUCUCAUUGCACCUUCCUAAUCUCUGGUUCCAAUAAACAUGCAGGCUACGUUAAACAAUCCUCAGGAGAUCCAGGAGACCUUCUGGGGUACCAGGUAUGGAAUCCUUCUUUGGGAGUCUCUGGUAAAAUGAGGAAGGUGAGAUGUGUAGACUCAUGCAGGGUCAUGAGUUAGAUGUAAAUUGGAAUGCAGUAAAUUUCAUGUCACUGAAAAGUAGAGGAAGAUUACAAGAGAAAAAAAAGGCGGUCAGGAAGUUCUCACUAAACCAUUCUGAAACUGGUGACCAACUCCCCUAUUCCUGUGUAGCCUCCCGGAGGACCCUAUCAAUUGCAUUUUUUUGUAGGAUGAGAUAAGAAAAUGCAAAUGAGGAAAUGUAAGCUCCAGCGCAGUCUUUCUUGUUUAUUGCUUUAUUCUGAUUCGCAAAAGCAGGUCAACAAAUGUUUAGGGAGGGCAGGGGAUUUAACUCAGUGGUGCCGCCACCUGCCUCACAAGUGCAAGGACCUGAGUUUGAUCCCUGUACCCUCCCCUAAAAAAUGUUUAUGGAAAAAACGAGGAAGUAGAAAGAACGAGAGCAGAAAUAUCUUCAAGUGCAAUAUGGUAGCAGAGAAGAAUGGGAAUUAGAUUAAGUUCAAUAUAAAAUCCUGAAAAUUUAAGAAAUUUGUCUCACAGUGGUGUACCGAUAAUAAACACAUCACCCCAAAUUUAGUCUUGUUGUUUCAAACGAGUGCACAUUUGAGAUUGGCUGACUAUGUUGGAUUUGAUCUGAAAAAGGGUUAUCCUCCAGAACCCAGAGCAAACUAGUUCUAAUCUGUGAAGGAUGGAGAAGGAAUUAUCCCUCUUAGGGCACAGCAGAUGUUUUGGCUGCAAGAGUCCAUGGGUUGCCCAACGAAAAUGCACAAGAGAGGUGGUAUAAGAAAGGAUAAGAAGAAAUGAAUACGAAAGGUGAAGUAAAUAAGUUUUGGGUGGGGGAAUCAUAACACUUCCUUCAUGCCUUACCUAAUCUGACUCUAAUUUUGCCCACAAGAUAGCAUUACCAGUGGAAUAAAAAUCAUUUGCGUCCCAGAGUGAUAAGGAACUUGGGCAAGGAUUCAUGGUAGAAUGUUACUAUAGAAAGUCCCAACGAUGGAUUCUCUGGCCAUGCCAUCAGGUGGUGGGCAUGCUACGAAGGAGGUAUUAAUUAAGCACCUACCCUGUGCUAGCCACUGUUGAGAACUGAUUGAUAUGUGUCUUGUUUGCAGGCUUCCCUGCCAUGGUUUGACUGCCCUACAGCUAUGGUCACGGGCGGACCCAGCUUUUGUGAAGGCUGAAGCUUCUCCUACUUUUUAAAACAAAAAUUAUUUUGCGGGGGCUCUUUAAGAAAAAGAACAUAAUUUUGAAACAAUGAGAUUAAAUAUAAACCCCCAAGCUUGUCCUUUAGGAGUGUUGAAGUUCAGCCUCUAUGUUUGCUUCUUAGUAAAUCCGUUUCUGACUGUGGUGAUGGGUCACCCAGGAAUAUAAAAUGUGUCAUAGUGGUACCUUCGAGGUGUUCAUUUUGGAAAUCAGGGGAUGAGAAAGGAUAGGACAGGGUUAAAGUGGGAAUAUUAAGCACACAGCUCACAGUAGCCCAUGUGUUUUCACCAUAGGCCAAAAGACUGAUUU